AAAUUGACGGGGGCCCGCACAAGCAGCGGAGCGUGUGGUUUAAUCGAUGCAACGCGAAGAACCUUACCAAGGCUUGACAUGCCAGAAGUAGGAACUCGAAAGAGAGACCACCUGUAUCCAGUCAGGAACUGGCACAGGUGCUGCAUGGCUGUCGUCAGCUCGUGCCGUGAGGUGUUAGGUUAAGUCCUGCAACGAGCGCAACCCUCGUCGCUAGUUAAAUUUUUCUAGCGAUACUGCCCGUAAAACGAGGAGGAAGGUGGGAUGACGUCAAGUCAGCAUGGCCCUUACGCCUUGGGCUACACACACGCUACAAUGGGUGAUACAACGGGUUGCGAGAGAGCGAUCUGGAGCUAAUCCCUAAAAUCAUCCUCAGUUCGGAUUGCAGGCUGAAACUGCCUGCAUGAAGUUGGAGUUGCUAGUAACCGCAGGUCAGCACACUGCGGUGAAUACGUUCUCGGGCCUU
rnacentral:rRNA from 1 species